rnacentral:rRNA from 1 species
UACGUAGGGGGCAAGCGUUGUCCGGAAUCAUUGGGCGUAAAGAGCGUGUAGGCGGCCCUGUAAGUCCGUUGUGAAAGUCGAGGGCUCAACCCUGGAAUGCCGGUGGAAACUGUCGGGCUGGAGUCCGGAAGAGGCGAGUGGAAUUCCUGGUGUAGCGGUGAAAUGCGCAGAUAUCAGGAGGAACACCAAUGGCGAAGGCAGCUCGCUGGGACGGUACUGACGCUGAGACGCGAAAGCGUGGGGAGCAAACAGG